AGCAGCCGCGGUAAUUCCAGCUCCAAUAGCGUAUAUUAAAGUUGUUGCAGUUAAAAAGCUCGUAGUUGAAUUUCGGGAUCAAUACGUCGGUCGUGCUUCGGUACGUACUAACGUCAUUGAUUUCUCCCUUCUGACGAAUCGUGAUGUCAUUAAUUUGGUGUUACGGGGAGUUAGGACUGUUACUUUGAAAAAAUUAGAGUGUUUAAAGCAAGCAAUCGCUCGAAUACAUUAGCAUGGAAUAAUGAAAUAGGACGUUCGAACCUAUUUUGUUGGUUUCUGGGAUCGACGUAAUGAUUAAUAGGGAUAGUUGGGGGCAUUAGUAUUCAAUUGUCAGAGGUGAAAUUCUUGGAUUUAUUGAAGACUAACUACUGCGAAAGCAUUUGCCAAGGAUGUUUUCAUUAAUCAAGAACGAAAGUUGGGGGAUCGAAGACGAUCAGAUACCGUCGUAGUCUUAACCAUAAACUAUGCCGACUAGGGAUCGGAUGAUGUUAAUUUUAUAAUGACUCAUUCGGCGCCUUAC
rnacentral:rRNA from 1 species